ensembl:lncRNA
CUUAAGCGAAUGUGCAGGCUUCUUCAGCGAUCAACCCUGCCUUUAACCAAGCCCCAUUGCUCUUUGUAGUUGCCGACCAGUAUCUGCUCUACUGGGAACUGGGCCGUGUCAGUUCUCUGCCUCAUGCUAGACUCAAGGAAACGGAGCGUAGAGCUCAGUCAGUAGUCUGCGUUCUUACAAGGCCAAGAGCAAAUGGAGCAGUCUGGGACUUCCACUUAGGAAGGGCGGCUAACAGCCGGCCUCCCAUGGGUUCUGUGGCAGUUAGUGAGGGGUCGGAAUUCUCAUUGCUUGGCUCACAUGUUGGCUGGUGCUCCUGAUCCCUCUGAGCCCUUCUUAGGAAGAGUCACAGUGAUUUUGUCCUGGAAUUAACUACUUUGCUAAGGAAAAUGAGGAAUUGUAUUCAGAAGCCAAACUCUGGACUCAGUGUUUUAUGGACUCGUUUGCUCACAGAUCGUCUGAAUGGACAGAGUAUGUUCAUAUUUCUACAAAUAGAGACGGACUCUAUUACUCGCCUACCAGAAAAGGUGCUCUAGUUUUCUUCUUCCAUAUUUGUAACUCUCCUUUUCAACAGGGCAAAACCCAGCUCCCUCUUCCUUAGUAUGAUCACCCAUUGAAACAAUGUGCUGUCUGUAACCAAUACUCUCUCUACUAGGUGUUACUCUUCUAAAGCCAGGUGUGCCUUCAGAGAACACCGUGCCCCAGGCUGCUUUCUGGCUUUAACGUGAUAGUUUUGGCUGCCUUUCAUUCACUGGUUGUGCAGUCCUCACGCAACCGCUUUAAGACACAUUAAAUAAUGUCCUUUUACUUUUUUUCUUUCCCUCCUUUCUUCUUCUGCCUGAGGUAAUUCAAGGAGGCAUUAUUAGCUAUAAUUUUUAAUAGCUCUUUCAGGAAUUGGUC